CCUACGGGUGGCUGCAGUGAGGAAUAUUGGUCAAUGGCCGGAAGGCUGAACCAGCCAUGCCGCGUGAAGGUCAGUGCCCUAUGGGCGUUAAACUUCUUUUGUGCGGGAGCAAUAAUGGUCACGUGUGGCCAGACGAGAGUACCGUACGACUAAGCAUCGGCUAACUCCGUGCCAGCAGCAGCGGUAAUACGGGGGAGGCAAGCGUUAUCCGGAUUUAUUGGGUUUAAAGGGUGCGUAGGCUGUGAGGUAAGUCAGCGGUGAAAUGCCCCCGCUCAACGGGGUGAAGUGCCAUUGAGACUGGCUGGCUGGAAUGCGGAUGCCGUGGGAGGAAUGUGUGGUGUAGCGGUGAAAUGCAUAGAUAUCACACAGAACACCGAUUGCGAAGGCAUCUCACGAAUCCGCGAUUGACGCUGAUGCACGAAAGCGUGGGUAUCAAACAGGAUUAGAUACCCGGGUAGUC
rnacentral:rRNA from 1 species